GUGUUGCCCUCAGUCUGCCUUCAUCUCAUGUUAAGAGGCAGAGGAGAAGCAGGAAGGGUGGAGUGCUGCUGCUUAUGGUCAGCUGGUGACUGCCUGCUAGGAACCUCAUGUAGAGGUUGUCCUGCACCGUUUAAACAUUAUUUGUGUGUUGUCCCCCUCCACACCGCUAAGUAUUAGUUCCUCCUGGUUUGCAGAAUUGUCAGGGGCAAACACUGAGGCAUCAUCAUUUGGGCAAGAAAAGCUUCUACAAUCUAAUGGAUUUGUCUAAAUUAAUUAUUUUCCAAAUCUUGGCUGUGAGCUUGGCCCCAAGCAUUGUUUUUGUUACUGAUGAGAUUAGAAAUCUCCUUUUAAGAAGAAGAAGAAAAAAAAGCUGUUUUUCAUGUAAUCACUAGACUCCAGGAGCUGGGGACUUGGAAAAAGGAUGCAAGAGCUGUGAUAAAACCACAAGCCUUGAUGAAGCUGAGGAGAUACUUUCAAAUCCUCAUCUGUCUCCAGGAGCUGAGGAAGUAAAACAAAAUGUUCUCAAGUCGGAAGAAAAUCACUAGAGAAGCUAGCAACACGGAAACUGCAGCCUGCUAAACAGUUAAUUCAUCACCUGUCCCACUCGAGAGUUAAGGCUAUUUUGUGGGGGGUGGAAUGAGAUCUUCUAUUGGACCAACUGCAUGGUUGGAAGAGAUUUUGGAUGAGUGUUCAAACACAAGGUUUUGGGCAAUGGAGAGUUAAACUUUUUAAAAAUGAGCCCUGCUGAGAAGAGUCAGAAUCCUGAGAGAGAUGGUCCUUGGAAAUAUUGAGCAAAUGAGGGAUGUGUUGAAGCAUGUAGACAUCUUGACUGUGUGAAGCGAAAAUGGAUGUGUUAGGGCCCUGCUAGAGGUGUAAAGACUCAACCCACAAGAUGUCAAACGUGCUGGAGGCAGUUUACCAACCUGCCCCUUUGGCAGACAACUCAUAAUCCUACACAGGAAAUAAAUAUCUGGACCUUGGAAAACUGUGAAGUGUGUUGAGAACUUGUAAGACAGGCCAGUACAUAGAUUCUGCUCAGGUGUUAUCACAAUCUCGUGGGAAUUUUUGGGACUCUUUGAGCUAUCUAUGAAUUUGGGCUCAUUGAGACUCUGUGAGUAUUCCUCAUAUGCAUCCAGUUUGACAGGAUUUAAAAAAUGUUGCAUUUCUAUUUUACUGGGCUUGCAAGAUAGAAAUGCUGAAUCGUAAGUAGGCUUGAGCCUUGACAUCAGUCUAAGCCAUAUCUGAUGAGUUAGAGGCUUCAUAGAGACCCUAGCCUUCACAUUAGUCUGAGAUAGUUACCCCACAAAGACGUAGUAGUAUAGGAAGGCAUGAUUAUGACUUUUCUAAGAUUGUUUAAAGAUGACGGAUGUGUAAAUUGCCUUUUCCUUUUCUACUUACUCUUCCUCCUUCCUUAGCCAUCAUCUCUUUGUUUUCUGUCAUUCUGGUUGCUCUUUCAGCUUAGACUAGUACAAACUACCUGAAGUGACCAUAAUCACAGCUACCAAGUCAACUCAUCUUCAAAUGUCUCCCAGAGUUUUUCAAUACAUAAAUAAUAGAAGCUGUAAAUGCUGAGUCUGAAAGAAGACAGGUUUUAUAAUAGUCCAUCAACAAUUGCUCCAGGAAUAACCAAGAGCUUGUGUAAGAUUGCUACCUUAGCAAUGUUAGUAUAUCAAGUUAAAGUUAAGCCACAGUACUGUGAAGGUCAUGGCACAGCAUCUAACUUUUAUUAUCUCAUGUCAGCACGUAGGACUAUGUGAGAAUGAUUGCUUACUUCUCUAAUUGGGUGGCUGCCAAGAAAAAAAGUCCUGUUGGUUGCUGCACUGUUUUUAAGAGACAGGAUACAAUUAGGUCAUUUCCAAAUGGAUCUAAAGUGUCAGACCUCUGUUAUUUCACUAGCUCACCUGAUAUAUAGUUUGCUGGACUAAUGUCAGAGCUCAAGUCUGACUUCAUUAGCUCACUCACCAAGUGAUAGCUUGAACUGAUGUAAAUAUUUUGGGUUCCUGUAAAUUGACUAGCUCAACACCUCCAGCUUGCUGGACUAAGGACGAACCGUGAGCUUCUGGGAGCUGACCAUCUAUACCACUGUAGUGUGCUGGGCUGGUAUCCAGGCACAAAACUCGAUUAGGAUCAGCUCUCUCAAUGGCUCUAGCCUGCUGGUAUCAUGCCAUAGAUGCCUGUAUGACAUCCCUGGCUCAGCACUUUUGGCUUCCUGGACUGAUAUCAAGCCACAAACAUAUUUUGGGUAACUAUCACAGAAGUUAUAGCUCUUGAACUGAUGUGAAGUUUUGCAUCUCUUUAGAUAUACCUUCAACUCAUGUCAAGGCUCAUGCCUCCCUAAGGUUAGUAGCUCAGCAUUUUACCUUGCCAAAUCGAUAUCAAAGCUGAGGCCUCUGCGACAUAUAUGUUUGUGCUCCAUUGGUACAGUCUGUAGCUAUAUUAUGAUCUAGGCCUUGGUCUCUGAUAUUGCUGGCUCACGCCUAUACUCUACUUGCUGAUUUAUUUGAAGAGGCUGGUUAAUAUGUGUCCUAGAAGAACCAUAGAUUACUGGUUUGAUAGUAGGUGCAAGGCCAUUAUGAAUUCACUAGCUCAGUACUGGCUUGCUUGGCUGAUUCUAAGACUGAUCUCUGUAAAGUGUCUGGCUUUAUGAGUACACCUUUCUGCGGUGAUGCCAACCACCGUCUGCUUGGAGCUCAUUGGUUCAGCACUUCCAGUUUGCUAGAUUUUUGUUAAGGUAUAGGGUUUGGAAGUCACUGGCUCAGUGACCUUUUUAAAGGGUAGUUUAAAUUCUACAAAUAAGCCAACUGCAUGUGUAAUUACAAGGCUCCUAAUUUGAAAAUAAUGUACCUGUUACAUUUCAUUUCCCUCUGGCUGAUAUUCACAUGGUCAUUUAUAAAAUAUAAAAAUUAGAUGAUUAGUGUCAACUAAAUAAAGUAUGCAGCUGCAAGAUUCAACUAUCAGCAUAUAGAUACAGCAUUUGCAGACCUUCAGGCAAAGCUUGUGUCAACAGAUGAGCUUUGCACCGUUAUUUGAACAUGAGUCGACUUACGCUCUGUCACAACAGUGAAAAGUGUUCAUUCAUUUGCAGUGCAGCUCUUAUCUUGUGGAGGGGUAAUAAUGAGAGGAUUAGUGCUUUCUGCUGUUGCUAAAUUAAGUUCAAUGAAAAAUAAAAGUGUUGGGCAGGGUCUGGACAAACACCAUUUGGAGCUGUGUAUCUGGCAGAGCCUAGCUGGGUUUUUUUAGGGAUGGUGAUCAGAGCAUAUUUUACUCCAUUUCAGUAGAGUCCUGUAAUUUUCAUUGCUAUAUUCUUAGACUGAUGCAACUGCCAAGCUAUCACUGUUAUCCCUCACUCGCACAUUGAUUGUCACCAGAUUCAGUGAUGUGUAUUAAAAAAAACCUUUGCAAUGUAUACAAUAGUCUUUAAAAUGUCAGAGUAUUCAUGUUUAAAUAUAAGCUGUCUCAGGGCAUGGUAACUGUUGUAAAUGUUGACUUCCUUACAGUGACUACUAUAUUUCUGUGUUUAGCUAGGUGUGAGGUUUCUAAGUAUUGUGACAUUGGGCAUUUUAAACAUGAAAUCAUUUGUAUUUCUCAGACCCUGGAAAUUCACCGCAGUCUCGGUAGCUGUCUCCACUCAAAAUCUGGGUAAUUAGGUAAUACAACAGUUUGGUUUUUAUGUGUUUGAAAAAAAUUAUAGGUUGUCAUCAAGAAGUAGCAUUUUGAGGCAGAGUGUAGUAAUGGCUUGGAGUUGGGUAGGAUUUGUGAAAUGUUUCCUGGCACUGGUGAAGAACUGACUCUGUUUUCUAUAAAGAUGACAGGAUUUGGAAUGAAAUUCCUAGUCUUCACAUUAUCUGGAAAAGUUUCUUGUCAGAAGGCAACAGCUUCUUCCAUAUAUUUUUUUCAGCUUUGAAACCAGAUCUGGUUUGUCAAAGCUGAGGUGCAAUGUAAAGCACAAAAUGAACUUUUUAAUGUCUUUGCAUUCUGGUUUGUUAUCUAUGACUAGAAAUCAGAUAGGGUUAACAUAUAUAAUUCAAUACUGCUGAUUCUUAACAUUUAUUUGCCAUGUUUACCUCAAAUCUGUUCAGUGCUUCCAAACUACCAUCAAAACAGUUUUCCUUCUAGACCCUGUUUUUUCUGAAAUACUGUUGACCGAAAAAGAACAGGAAGGAAGUUGCCUUGAAUUGCCUAAUCUUAGCUAUUGUCAGUGGUGCUUCUAAAGCUGGUUUGUUUUGUAUUUCCUUAUAGCUCACUUCAUGACACAGAAACAGACAGAUAUAUCAGAAUGUGUAGAUUUUUUAGCUAAGGGGAAUAAAAUGAACAAAAUC